AACGCACCUUGCGCUCCCUGGUAUUCCGGGGAGCACGCCUGUUCGAGUGUCGCGAAAUUUCUCAAGCUUGGAUGGCCUUUUUGUCUAUCCUUAGCCUUGGUUGUUGGGCUUUGCCGUGUCCUUUGUUGGGACGGCUGGCCUUAAAAGCAUUAGCUGAUCCUUGUGUGGCACUGGUUCUACUCAGCGUGAUAACAGUCUGAUCGCUGAGGACAUCUUUUGGGAUGGCCAGUUCUCAUUUGGGUUGCUUCCAAACUUGGUUUUGCAGAUUCUUCAAUCUGUGUUCCACUUUUCAGCUUUGACCUCGAAUCAGGUGGGACUACCCGCUGAACUUAA
rnacentral:misc_RNA from 1 species